UGUAGCUCAGCUGGUAGAGUGUUUGCCUAGCAUUCACAAAGCUCUGGGUUCAAUUCCCAGCA
rfam:Neotoma lepida isolate 417 scaffold_659, whole genome shotgun sequence.